GACGAACGCUGGCGGCGUGCUUAACACAUGCAAGUCGAACGGUAAGGCCCUUCGGGGUACACGAGUGGCGAACGGGUGAGUAACACGUGGGUGAUCUGCCCUGCACUUCGGGAUAAGCCUGGGAAACUGGGUCUAAUACCGGAUAGGACCACUGCCUGCAUGGGUGGUGGUGGAAAGCUUUUGCGGUGUGGGAUGGGCCCGCGGCCUAUCAGCUUGUUGGUGGGGUGAUGGCCUACCAAGGCGACGACGGGUAGCCGGCCUGAGAGGGUGACCGGCCGCACUGGGACUGAGAUGCGGCCCAGACUCCUACGGGAGGCAGCAGUGGGGAAUAUUGCACAAUGGGCGCACGCCGGAUGCAGCGACGCCGCGUGAGGGAUGGCGGCCUUCGGGUUGUAAACCUCUUUCAGAACCGACGAAGCGCAAGUGACGGUAGGUGCAGAAGAAGGACCGGCCAACUACGUGCCAGCCGCCGCCGUAA
rnacentral:rRNA from 1 species